UCUUUUUAAAUCAAAGUUUCUUCUAUAAUCUAACUGCAUUUGUGUUUUGACUUCUGACAUUAAAAACAAAAUAAUUUUUCUUGAGUUUUUCUUUCAGAACUUUCUGGGAAGUAAUCAAGAUGGUAAUGUUGUGUGACUCCUGACUUGUCCUGUAAUGAAGACUUGAGAUCUUUGUACUUAUUAAAAACCAGGAUGAAUAUAUGUGUACAAGGGCCACUCUGGCUGUCACGGGAUUUUUGCUAAAUAAUUUUUAUCGAAUGAAUUAAUGAAUGAGAUUAUGGGCUGAACCUACGGUGCCUUCUUACAUUUUGGAAGAAGAAAGAAAGUACCUGCCUGAUUGAUUCUCCUCUCAUUUUCCAGAAACUUUAUUUCUUUUUAGAUGUGUUUUAAUGUAGCUGUGUGCUUUGCUGAUCUCCACUUUGAGUAAGAACUAGCAACAACUGAGGCUCUAGUCAACAAAUAGGAUAAAGAAGCAACCUUUGGAGCAGAAGUCAUCAGCAGGAACACAAUAAGCCAUGAAUGGAAAGGCCAGUGACACAAGGCUGACAGUCUCUCCCAGGAGUUGGUGUUGGCAGAACUUCAGCAUUUGUUGUCAUAGUAUGGAAUGAAGAUGAGAUGAAGUAUGAAUAUGCAGUGGAAUUCAUAAGAAAAAAGUGGUACAGUACCUCUAACAGCAAGCAAUUUUGUAUUCGGAGUAGUAUCCUAAAAUGUGACUACAUUUCAAAGACUCCAGUGGCCAGAGAAAUAACUUGUAAUUGAAUUAGACUGAGAUUUUUAAAGCUAUUUACCUUGGCAGUGGAAUUUGAGACAUAACCUAACUUUUCACUCAUAUCAGAUGUCAUAGUGGCUUGGUGGAUGAGUCUAAUAAGCUUCCAUAGGAGUCUUGAAAAAUAUUUUUACCAGGUCACAUACUUUGCAUAAUUGUAAUCAUCACAAAUGGAUUUGAAAUAGCAUAUUUUGAUACUUAACAAAAUAUUCUUGUAUUGAAAAUGUACUUAUCUCAUUUGUUUUUCCACGAGUCUUACAGUUUUGUGUCUAAAAACUUCUUGACAUUGGUUGUAACAAUAACUCCUUGGAUAUGACACUAAAAGCACAGACAGACAAGUUUGCAGACAUAAAACCAAAAAAUAAAAUAAAAAGAAAAAAGAAGACAGAAAAUUUCUGUAUAGCAAUCAAGCAAAGGAAUGAAAAUGCAACUUACAAAAUAGAAGAAAAUGUUUGAAAAUAACAUAUUGAAUGAGGGUUAAUAUUUAUGACUAAUGAGGCUUACAUGAGAAACUUUUGCGACUCAAUAGCAAAACACUCAACUCGAUUAAAAUGAACAAAGACCUUAAGUAGACAUUUCUCCAAAGAAUAGAUGCAAAUUGCCAACAGGUAUAUGAAAAUAUUGCUCAACAUCACUAAUCAUGAAAGAAAAGCAAAUCAAAACCACACUGGAAUAUCACCUGUCAGGACGGCUAUUAUCAAAAACAAAAGGGGCUGGGGAUUUAGCUCAGUGGUUGCACCACCUGCCUUGUAAG